CACGUAGGGAGCAAGCGUUGUCCGGAUUUCUUGGGCGUAAAGAGCUCGUAGGUGGUUCGGUAAGUCAGGUGUGAAACCUCCAGGCUCAACCUGGAGACGCCACUUGAUACUGCUGUGACUGGAGUCCGGUAGGGGAGCGUGGAAUUCCUGGUGUAGCGGUGAAAUGCGCAGAUAUCAGGAGGAACACCGAUGGCGAAGGCAGGUCUCUGGGCCACUACUGACGCUGAGAAGCGAAAGCGUGGGGAGCGAACAGG
rnacentral:rRNA from 1 species